rnacentral:rRNA from 1 species
GACGUAGGGUGCAAGCGUUGUCCGGAAUUAUUGGGCGUAAAGAGCUCGUAGGCGGCUUGUCGCGUCGGAUGUGAAAGCCCGGGGCUUAACUCCGGGUCUGCAUUCGAUACGGGCAGGCUAGAGUUCGGUAGGGGAGAUCGGAAUUCCUGGUGUAGCGGUGAAAUGCGCAGACAUCAGGAGGAACACCGGUGGCGAAGGCGGAUCUCUGGGCCGAUACUGACGCUGAGGAGCGAAAGCGUGGGGAGCGAACAGG